GCCCCUCCACCGGCCCUUUCUUGCAGCAAGCCUUUAGCAUACUAUUUGUGUAGAAUUUCACUUCUGCUGCACUGUGUUUAAGACAGUGCCAGAGGAAGACAAAGUUCUGGGGUCCUCAUUGUCAUGCUUGGCUCUCGGUCACCUGGGCCCUCCACUCAGGCCUUCUGUCCCCAGUUGCCUUUUCUGGUACAUGAAGAGGAUACUUAGAAGCCAGGGACUCAAACCAUCAACACUGCUCUAUUCCAGCUCCCUGUUUGGGGCCUCAAGGCCCUUUUCAGUUUAUAAUGUGGUCUCUUU